rnacentral:rRNA from 1 species
UACGUAGGUGGCGAGCGUUGUCCGGAUUUACUGGGCGUAAAGGGCGCGUAGGCGGCGCGAUAAGUCAAAGGUGAAAUCCCUCGGCUCAACUGAGGAACUGCCUUUGAGACUGUCGAGCUUGAGGCCGGGAGGGGGUAGCGGAAUUCCCAGUGUAGCGGUGAAAUGCGUAGAUAUUGGGAGGAACACCAGUGGCGAAGGCGGCUACCUGGACCGGUUCUGACGCUGAGGAGCGAAAGUGUGGGGAGCGAACAGG